rnacentral:rRNA from 1 species
GACGAACGCUGGCGGCGUGCUUAACACAUGCAAGUCGAACGGAAAGGCCCUGCUUUUGUGGGGUGCUCGAGUGGCGAACGGGUGAGUAACACGUGAGUUACCUGCCCUUGACUUUGGGAUAACUUCAGGAAACUGGGGUUAAUACCGGAAAGGCGCUCCUGCUGCAUGGUGGGGGUUGGAAAGUUUCGGCGGUUGGGGAUGGACCCGCGGCUUAUCAUCUUGUUGGUGGGGUAGUGGCUUACCAAGGCGUUGACGGGUAGCCGGCCGGUGGGGGUGACCGGCAAAAUGGGGACUGGGAUCCGGCCAGAACCCCAACGGGAGGAAGCGGUGGGGAAAAUUGAAAAAUGGGCGGAGGCCGAAGCAAGCAACGCCGGGGGGGGGAUGACGGCCUUCGGGUUGAAAACCGCUUUCGCCGGGGACGAAGCGUGAGUGACGGUAAUGGGUGAAGAAGCACCGGCUAACUACGUG